CCUACGGGGGGCUGCAGUGGGGAAUAUUGGACAAUGGGCGAAAGCCUGAUCCAGCCAUGCCGCGUGUGUGAAGAAGGCCUUCGGGUUGUAAAGCACUUUCAGUGGGGAAGAAAGCCUUGGGGCUAAUACCCUCGAGGAAGGACAUCACCCACAGAAGAAGCACCGGCUAACUCCGUGCCAGCAGCCGCGGUAAUACGGAGGGUGCGAGCGUUAAUCGGAAUUACUGGGCGUAAAGCGCGCGUAGGCGGUCUGAUAAGCCGGUUGUGAAAGCCCCGGGCUCAACCUGGGAACGGCAUCCGGAACUGUCAGGCUAGAGUGCAGGAGAGGAAGGUAGAAUUCCCGGUGUAGCGGUGAAAUGCGUAGAGAUCGGGAGGAAUACCAGUGGCGAAGGCGGCCUUCUGGACUGACACUGACGCUGAGGUGCGAAAGCGUGGGUAGCAUACAGGAUUAGAUACCCGAGUAGUC
rnacentral:rRNA from 1 species